rnacentral:misc_RNA from 1 species
UGGGUGGCUCAUUAAGUGGGAGUAGAAUGGAUUAUCAACUCUUUAGGAUCAUAUGCGAAGAAAUCAGGAGAAAUCAUUGUCCACCUAGUCUCACCCAGCACUAUUGCCUGUAGAUGGUUACCAGAUUGAAAUUAUAAUACAUUUUGUACCGUGAAUUAAUUUGAUUAUCUCCUCAAAAAAUGUUCCGGUCUUUGCGGAGAUAAUCAUAUUAAUUCAAGGU